UAUGAAGGAGUCGACCAAGAUGUCGGAACAAUAGUGUCACCCUCACACCCUCACUCUCCUCACCCUGGCCACCCUCACGCCUCACCCUGGCCACCCUCACCACGGAGAAGCGUAAACACAGUGCCAGAGGACCUGGAUGAAGCAGGAUGGGGGCCAUAACGAGCAGGCAGAACGCUGGCGUCGAGGAGGUGGACAUUGGGGUUAAUCACGCCUACAAGUACCCCCCUAAGUCGGGAAAUUACUUCAGCAGUCAUUUUAUCAUGGGUGGGGAACGGUUUGAAACGGCCCUGCCUGAGAUGUAUCUCUUCGGGGAGAACAUGGAUGUCAACUUCUUGGGAUCACGUCCCGCACCUUUUCUUUAUCAGAGUGAUGGCCUAUUAGGGGUCUCCAUGGCGUCUCAUCCUGAAGGCCCGUGGACAGUACGUGAUGACACCAAGGAAAACGAUACCUUCCCAGCUCCUAUAGGGCCAAUGCGAAAACAGUUUCCAUAUCCAGCACCGACUGCAAACGAGCCAAGCAAAACGUUGAAAGCGCUUAUUAACAUAAGAAAGGAAAGUUUACGAUUUGUGCGCGCGCCUGAUGAAUCGGCUACCCUAAAGGAACCAGAUGACACCACCGCAGUAUCCAGAUUUAACAUAGAAUUCACGUUUGAUUGUGAUGUGCGUUGUGCCAUUACCAUCAUGUACUUCUGCUCGGAAGACAUCACAACAAGUGGCAUGAUCUACACUCCCCGUGACCCCGUCAUGAACUCGGAGACAUAUCAUUACAAGCGAGGAGCGAAUCAGCAGUUCUCGCAAGUGUGUCACGUCUUUGAUCCUUCUCUGUAUCCUGAGGAAGAGCUGUUGUAUAGCUUCGACCGAGAGAUUUUGCCUAUUGUGAUAUAUUGCGUAGCAGAAGAAGGAGAGGAUCCUCGUCAGUCGCACGUUACAUUUGCAAUGGUGGAGAGACACAGUGAUGGUUAUGCUCUCAAACCUCUCAAACAGAAACUAUUUGUGGAUGGCCUCUCCUAUCUUCUUCAGGAGAUCUAUGGCAUAGAAAACAAAAAUGCAGACAAUUGUAAGGUUUCAACUGAGGAAGAUAUUGAAGAUAACGGAGCCGAGUGUGUCAUCUGCAUGUGUAACCUGCGGGACACGCUGAUCCUGCCGUGUCGUCACCUGUGUCUCUGUAACUGCUGUGCCGACUCUCUCAGGUAUCAAGCCAACAACUGUCCUAUUUGCCGUGCACCUUUCCGUGCUCUGCUCCAGAUAAAAGCCUUGCAGAAGAACUCGGGAGCUUGUACCAAUCCACAACCAAGUUCUGAGGAUGAGAAGCCUUCUUUUGUGGUAGUUUCCAUCCUUGGUGCUGCACUGGCUGGAGAGGACGAGGAAGGGUUGCAUGCCUUUAUAGCUUUGAGUGGAGAUAAUGUACCACCAGGCUAUGAAGCAGUUUCCCUUAUUGAAGCCCUCAAUGGUCCAUCUGUCGCACUGCAGCAACCCUCCGCUCCACCGGCACACGAGCUGUACGUCCAGCUGCCUCAGAAUGCAACUGAUGCACCAUCCGAGUCUCUCAUUCGUAAUGAAGCAUCAAGAUGUUUCAUCGAAAGCAUAACUGUUCGAUCAGGGGCUGGCUCGGUGGAAGAUUCUACCACUCAAACAGACCGUCCCCCCAGCUCCUGUGACUCAAAUAACCCAUCCGGGGUAGUUACCGAGAUGCGUAUGUCAGUGCUGCUUGCUCGUGAAUGUGAGGAAGAGACAGGUGGCAAAGGGGACAGCAUUGUGGCCGCUGCUGCUGCACCUCCUGUCAAAAAGAAGGCAAGUCGGAAACAGUCUCGUGAGAAGCAGCAGCAUUAUGGUUCUAAGGACAGCGUUAAAGUUGUCAACGAAAUAGGUGGACCGAGGAGUAUUGAACGGGGCAGGGGAAGUGGUGCUGCCUUAUUUUCGGGGGUCAUCUUAUGCGCUGAAUAUAAGCCUAAACCUGAAUUACACCUCAAAAUUUUUGGGGUCGACUUAUGUGGCAGGUCGACUUCGAUGCCGACAUAUACGCCUGUUGACCCAGCAGAAACGAGGAGUCUCCUAGAUGAGGAUGGGUCAGAAACCGAUGCAGGCGUUGAGGGUGACGGGAGGCUGAGACAGCAGAACCCUCGAGAGUUUGAGAACCAGCAGGAGAUGAGAGCCCCACAGGCCGAGGCAGAGGUCGACGAUGAUGAUGAGGGGGAGCGGGCGUUUGAGAAUGACAGUGACCACAGGGAGCGGUCGAUUGUGGUGCUGCCGGACUCGACUGUCAGUGAGAGUGAUGAUAAUGACUUACCAGAAGUUGUUUCAUACUCACCGGUCGUGACGCCAAGGAAGGUUGAUGGGGUGAGACAGGAAAUUCUUGAAACUGACGAGGUGAUCACCGGUGAUUUUGACCCCAUAGAACUGUGAUUGUCGCUAACCCUCCCCCAUCUCUCCAUUAGUCGAUGCCAUGAGCCCCGUGAUCGUGCUGUAACUCCAAGGCACGGCCGAAAUGGUGGUUCAUCGGACAUGUCAGUUCCAGCUUCCCCAGGAGGAGGAGCAUCAAACGUCACUCAUCAAAGUGACACUGUUUCUCUUCCUGGUACACCCUUGAGCAACGCUUCAGCCA
rnacentral:misc_RNA from 1 species